UAGAUACUCCCUCCGUCCCAAAAUAUUUGUCCUAAAAAUGCAUAUAAUGAAUGUAUCUACAAUUAAAAUAAGUCUAGAUACAUUCAUCUCUAGAACAAGUAUUUCCGAAUGGAGGUAGUAUUUG
rnacentral:pre_miRNA from 1 species